UACGUAGGGUCCAAGCGUUAUCCGGAAUCACUGGGCGUAAAGCGUGCGUAGGCGGAUGUUUAAGUGUGAUGUUAAAUCGUGGGGCUCAACCCUGUCGUUGCAUCGCAUACUGGGCAUCUAGAGGACGGCAGAGGCAAGUGGAACUCGUAGUGUAGCAGUGAAAUGCGUAGAUAUUACGAAGAACACCAGUGGCGAAGGCGGCUCACUGGCCCGAUACUGACGCUGAUGCACGAAAGCGUGGGGAGCAAACAGG
rnacentral:rRNA from 1 species